rnacentral:tRNA from 1 species
GGGGAAGUGGCGGAAUCUGGUAGACGCGUUGGACUCAGGAUCCAAUGGGGCAAUCUCCCGUGUGGGUUCAAAUCCCACCUUCCCCA